rnacentral:lncRNA from 1 species
UUUUCAUAUAGUGAAGAUUGAUCCUUGUUUCGUGGACGUAGGCAUAAAUUGUCGAACCACAUAAAUUCUUGAUGUUCAUUUUCUACUUUACUUUGUACAUUCUUUAUCUUGUAGUACCGACAUUCCUAACAGCUACGUGAUGUUGAAUUUUAUUUUGUUCUACUAAACGAUUGUGUGCCUUUGGUUAGUUCUCUAUGUGAAAUCUACUUGCAUGUUUCUCUUAAAUACCAGGACAUCACAUCUAAUAUUUAAUUAGUCUGGUUAUGAAGUAUAACGUGUUAUUAUACACAAAUUUAUGUUGCAUUUACAUCGAUCUUUUUUCUUUUUGAUAUCAAGAAGGGAAUUGAACAUAAAUGCCAAUUGUAAAAAAGCUACGUAGCUUUCUAAUGUCGCGUAUGUAUAAAGGGAGAUUGUUUUUUGACCUCCAAUGCAUAAU